GACAAUGGCCUAGUGGUCAGAUCGUUCACAUAGGAUGUGGAAGGUCACGGGUUCGAACCCCGGCCGAGUCA